rnacentral:rRNA from 1 species
CCAUCGGGUAGAGCCGGGCACUCUGGAAGGACUGCCAUCGACAAGAUGGAGGAAGGUGGGGAGUGACGUCAAGUCAUCAUGGCCCUUAUGUCCAGGGCGACACACGUGCUACAAUGGCCGGCACAACGGGAAGCGAGUUCGCGAGGACGAGCGGAUCCCUCAAAGCCGGUCGCAGUUCGGAUUGAAGUCUGCAACUCGACUUCAUGAAGCUGGAAUCGCUAGUAAUCGCAGAUCAGCCAAGCUGCGGUGAAUACGUUCCCGGGCCUU